rnacentral:pre_miRNA from 1 species
GAUGUACUCCCUCCGUCCCAAAAUUCUUGUCUUGGAUUUGUCUAGAUAUGAAUGUAUCUUGUCACGUUUUAGUAUUUUGAUACAUCCAUUUUUAGACAAAUCUAAGACAAGAAUUUUGGAACGGAGGGAGUAUUUG